rnacentral:misc_RNA from 1 species
UUGAAUUUUCAAAGGAGCUGUUUGCUGGCCUCUCGGGGCAUGUGCACGCUUCGAUCGAUUCCAACCUUUACACCCCUGUGCACCUUUUGUAGGGUCGCGGUCGAAAGGCUGCGCCUCUAUGUCAUGCCACGAACUCUAUGUAUGUUUAGAAUGUUAAACGCGUGCGACGCAUUUUUAUA